UACGUGCAUGAAGACAGGUGACUCAAAGAC
rnacentral:piRNA from 1 species